rfam:Streptomyces sp. Mg1, complete genome.
CUUCACCGAGCCGAGCAGCAGGGGCCGGUCGUCGCUGUGCUCGCGGCCGUAGGUGGCCAGCAGCGCCUGCGCCUC